rnacentral:rRNA from 1 species
UACGUAGGGUGCGAGCGUUGUCCGGAAUUACUGGGCGUAAAGAGCUCGUAGGUGGUUUGUCGCGUUGUUCGUGAAAACUCACAGCUUAACUGUGGGCGUGCGGGCGAUACGGGCAGACUGGAGUACUGCAGGGGAGACUGGAAUUCUCGGUGUAGCGGUGAAAUGCGUAGAUAUCGAGAGGAACACCUGCGGCGAAGGCGGGUUGCUGGGCUGAUACUGACGCUGAGGCGCGAAAGCCAGGGGAGCGAACGGG